AGAGUUUGAUCCUGGCUCAGGACGAACGCUGGCGGCGUGCUUAACACAUGCAAGUCGAACGAUGAAGGAGGAGCUUGCUCUUCUGGAUUAGUGGCGAACGGGUGAGUAACACGUGAGUAACCUGCCCUUGACUCUGGGAUAAGCGUUGGAAACGACGUCUAAUACCGGAUACGACCCUCGGAGGCAUCUCCUGGGGGUGGAAAGAAUUUCGGUCAAGGAUGGACUCGCGGCCUAUCAGCUUGUUGGUGAGGUAAUGGCUCACCAAGGCGACGACGGGUAGCCGGCCUGAGAGGGUGACCGGCCACACUGGGACUGAGACACGGCCCAGACUCCUACGGGAGGCAGCAGUGGGGAAUAUUGCACAAUGGGCGAAAGCCUGAUGCAGCAACGCCGCGUGAGGGACGACGGCCUUCGGGUUGUAAACCUCUUUUAGUAGGGAAGAAGCGAAAGUGACGGUACCUGCAGAAAAAGCACCGGCUAACUACGUGCCAGCAGCCGCGGUAAUACGUAGGGUGCAAGCGUUGUCCGGAAUUAUUGGGCGUAAAGAGCUCGUAGGCGGUUUGUCGCGUCUGCUGUGAAAACCCGAGGCUCAACCUCGGGCCUGCAGUGGGUACGGGCAGACUAGAGUGCGGUAGGGGAGAUUGGAAUUCCUGGUGUAGCGGUGGAAUGCGCAGAUAUCAGGAGGAACACCGAUGGCGAAGGCAGAUCUCUGGGCCGUAACUGACGCUGAGGAGCGAAAGCAUGGGGAGCGAACAGGAUUAGAUACCCUAGUAGUCC
rnacentral:rRNA from 1 species